rnacentral:lncRNA from 1 species
AAGACAGUUCUUAUGAGUCACAUCCGUCUAAAUGAGACUUGUCAGACUAUAAAAAAUGAAACAAAUUCAUUCAUUUCCUUAAUUUUUUUUUUUUUUUUUUACACAAAGGUGAUAAACAAGUACCCAAAAAAAAAGGAACUAUGUCCUGGAGGAUUAGGUGAGUAUUCUACACUAAACGGGCAUAAUGGUCGUCGGACUACCAAAGUAGCCUACCUUCUCAAUUGUAAUGGUCGUCGGACUACCUAAACCCUAAUUCAUUCUUUUUAAAAACGGAAAAUAUCACUUUUGUUUUGUGUAGUUUGCAAGUUUUUCCACUUUGAUCCAUGUAGUUUUAAUUUUGUCAAUUUAACCCUUGUAGUUUGAUUCUAUCACAAUUCAAGGACACAUCCAAAUUUCCACCCAAAAUACUGCUCAGUAAGGGACACGUGUU